AUGGUGAGUGUGACAUGUGCUAAUAUAGCCCUCAUUGCUUUCUCAUUUCCACUGUGCAUGUUUGCCUGUCCUUUGGCCACCUUUGCUCAGGAUGCAGCCAGAGAAUCACUGUGGAAUUAUGAGAAGGUCUUUGGUGUUGGAACCAAACUUGUUGUCACAGAUAAAAGCUCUGAUGCAGACAUUUUCCCCAAGCCCACAAUUUUCCUUCCUUCAGUUGCUGAAAUAAAUCUCCAUAAGGCUGGGACACAUCUUUGUGUUCUUGAGAACUUUUUCCCUGAUGUUAUUAAGGUAUAUUGGAAAGAGAAAGGUGGUGAUAGGAUUCUGGAAUCCCAGCCCGGAAAUACCAUGAAGACUAAAGAUACAUACAUGAAGAUGAGCUGGCUCACCGUGACUGGAAAGUCAAUGGAUAAAGAGCACAGAUGUAUCAUCAAACAUGAGAAAAAUAGAGGAGGAGUUGAUCAAGAGAUUCUCUUUCCUGCAGUGAAUAAAGUUUUCACCACAAUGAAACCCAGAGAAGCCAAUUUGAAAGAUGGAUAUGCUGUCACCACUAUUAAUCCCAAAGAAGCUGAUCUGGAAGUUGAAAAUGAUGCACUGAGGCUGCAGUUCACAUACACCUCUGCCUACUGGACCUACCUCCUCCUGCUGCUCAAGAGUGUGGUCUACUUGGCCAUCAUCACCUUCUAUCUGCUUAGAAGAACAGCUGUUGGUGGCAAUGGGAAGAGCUCCUAACAGAUGGUAGCACAACACAGUCAUAUUAUCUUUAUAGUUUAUUUUCCUGAAAAGUUUCUGCUUAGGACUUAGCAGGCUAGCAGCUAGGUUCAGGCUUCUCAGUUUUCAUAUGUAUUCUUUUGUCAUUAUUGCAUAAAGAUUUUUCAAACCAGUGAAAAAUCCAGGAAUUUCAUCUUCUAACAAGAAGCCCACGGUAGCCUCUGGCCUCACUGUAAAAAAUUCAAUAUUCUUUUCCAUCUUUUAAAAUAUGCACCUCAUUAUCAUUAUUCUAGUUCAUUCCCAUAUUGCUUUGUUUAUCGAUCUUUAGAAAAAUUUUCUCAAAUUAAAUAGUUUCAGACUUUUAGGCAAAAUUACACAUUCAUUGACAUCUGAAUGAAGCAAUAAUAACAAACACUUGUAUAGUGCUCACUAUGUACCAGAUACUGGAUUAAUUGUGUGCUACCUCAUCUAAUUCUCACAAGCACAUCUUGAGUUAUGUACAAUUUCAUCUAUCUGUAGAAGGGGAAAUUGAAGCACCAAGGGCUAACAAGUCCCCGAGAGCUAAUAAGCAACAGAAUUUCCAGAAUUUCCUAAACAUCUUCUAACAAGAAGCCCAUGGUAGCCUCUGACCACUCCAGCCAGCCCAAAUCAUCAAAGCCUUGGUAGAAAUGGCAUGUAGCUUCUAAUCACAGCCUUUAGGGUCUUGUAACCAGAGACCAUUAAAACCCUUACAUUCUGUACACCCCAAAGCAGCCUUCUUUGCUACUUGCCUUCUGUGCUUGCUUUUUUUCUUUUUUUUAAAUAGGAUAACUUCAUUUAUGUAUGAGACUAAAUUUCUAAAGACAAUAUUGGUAAAAAUAAAUUAGCAAUGU